rnacentral:rRNA from 1 species
UACGGAGGAUCCAAGCGUUAUCCGGAUUUAUUGGGUUUAAAGGGUGCGUAGGCGGCCUGUUAAGUCAGGGGUGAAAGACGGUAGCUCAACUAUCGCAGUGCCCUUGAUACUGAUGGGCUUGAAUGGACUAGAGGUAGGCGGAAUGAGACAAGUAGCGGUGAAAUGCAUAGAUAUGUCUCAGAACAUCGAUUGCGAAGGCAGCUUACUAUGGUCUUAUUGACGCUGAGGCACGAAAGCGUGGGGAUCAAACAGG